rnacentral:rRNA from 1 species
GAUGAACGCUAGCGGCAGGCCUAAUACAUGCAAGUCGAGGGGCAGCGCGGUAGCAAUACUGGCGGCGACCGGCGCACGGGUGCGUAACACGUAUGCAACCUACCUUCAACUGGAGGAUAGCCCGGGGAAACUCGGAUUAAUACUCCAUAACACAGGGAUCCCGCAUGGGAAUAUUGUUAAAGCUACGGCGGUUGAAGAUGGGCAUGCGUUCGAUUAGCUAGUGGUGUAGGUAACGGGCUCACCAAGGCUACGAUCGAUAGGGGGUCUGAGAGGAUGAUCCCCCACACUGGUACUGAGAUACGGACCAGACCUCCUACGGGAGG